GACGUAGGGGGCCAGCGUUGUUCGGAAUUACUGGGUGUAAAGGGUUCGUAGGCGGUGUGGCAAGUCGGGAGUGAAAUCUCUGGGCUCAACUCAGAGACUGCUUCCGAAACUGCCGUGCUUGAGUGUGGGAGAGGCGCGUGGAAUUGCAGGUGUAGCGGUGAAAUGCGUAGAUAUCUGCAGGAACACCCGUGGCGAAAGCGGCGCGCUGGACCACUACUGACGCUGAGGUACGAAAGCUAGGGGAGCGAACGGG
rnacentral:rRNA from 1 species